CUUAUACUCCCUCCGUCUGAAAAUAAUUGUUCUAAAAAUGUACAAAAUGGAUGUAUCUAUAACUAAAAUAUGUCUAGAUACAUCUAUUUUAGGACAAGUAUUUUCGGACGGAGGGAGUAUUUA
rfam:Hordeum vulgare subsp. vulgare, WGS project CAJW01000000 data, contig: morex_contig_1561493